CCUACGGGAGGCUGCAGUGGGGAAUAUUGGGCAAUGGGCGCAAGCCUGACCCAGCAACGCCGCGUGAAGGAAGAAGGCUUUCGGGUUGUAAACUUCUUUUCUCAGGGACGAAGAAAGUGACGGUACCUGAGGAAUAAGCCACGGCUAACUACGUGCCAGCAGCCGCGGUAAUACGUAGGUGGCAAGCGUUAUCCGGAAUUACUGGGUGUAAAGGGUGCGUAGGCGGGAUUGUAAGUCAGAUGUGAAAUCCACGGGCUCAACCUGUGGGCUGCAGUUGAAACUGUAAUUCUUGAGUGCUGGAGAGGCAGGCGGAAUUCCUAGUGUAGCGGUGAAAUGCGUAGAUAUUAGGAGGAACACCAGUGGCGAAGGCGGCCGACUGGCCUGUAACUGACGCUGAGGCACGAAAGCGUGGGGAGCAAAUAGGAUUAGAUACCCCUGUAGUC
rnacentral:rRNA from 1 species